rnacentral:rRNA from 1 species
GUCCAAAUGAAAAAAUAUUUGGUCUAAUCUGCCCGGUGAAAAAAAUUUUAACGGCCGCGGUACUUCUGACCGUGCAAAGGUAGCAUAAUCAUUUGUCUUUUAAUUGGAGGCUAGUAUGAAUGAUUGGACGAAGAAUAAGCUGUUUACAGGUAUAGAAAUUGAAAUUAACUUUUAAGUGAAAAGGCUUAAAUUUUUUAAAAAGACGAUAAGACCCUAUAAAUCUUGAACAUUAGAAUCAUUGAUUAAUAUAAUUUGUAGAGUUUAAAAUAAAAUAGUGAAUAGUAUGUUAUGUUGGGGCGACAAAGAUAUAGAAAAUUUAACUGUCUAAUUAUUUUACAAUAAUAAUUGAAUUUAAGAUCCUUUGUAAAGAUUACAAGAUUAAGUUACUUUAGGGAUAACAGCGUAAUUCUUUUUGAAAGUUCUCAUUGAAAAAAGAGUUUGCGACCUCGAUGUUGAAUUAAAAUUUCUUUAUGGUGCAGCAGCUAUAAAAGAAAGUCUGUUCGACUUUUAAAAUUUU